UGGGGAAUAUUGCACAAUGGGCGAAAGCCUGAUGCAGCAACGCCGCGUGAGUGAUGAAGGCCUUCGGGUUGUAAAGCUCUGUCUUUUGGGACGAUAAUGACGGUACCAAAGGAGGAAGCCACGGCUAACUACGUGCCAGCAGCCGCGGUAAUACGUAGGUGGCAAGCGUUGUCCGGAUUUACUGGGCGUAAAGGAUGCGUAGGCGGAUUUUUAAGUGAGAUGUGAAAACCCUAAGCUUAACUUGGGGACUGCAUUUCAUACUGGAAAUCUAGAGUGCGGGAGAGGAGAAUGGAAUUCCUAGUGUAGCGGUGAAAUGCGUAGAGAUUAGGAAGAACACCAGUGGCGAAGGCGAUUCUCUGGACCGUAACUGACGCUGAGGCAUGAAAGCGUGGGUAGCAAACAGGAUUAGAUACCCUGGUAGUCCACGCCGUAAACGAUGAGUACUAGGUGUAGGAGGUAUCGACCCCUUCUGUGCCGCAGUUAACACAAUAAGUACUCCGCCUGGGAAGUACGAUCGCAAGAUUAAAACUCAAAGGAAUUGACGGGGUCAUAGCUG
rnacentral:rRNA from 1 species